rnacentral:rRNA from 1 species
UGGGGAAUAUUGGACAAUGGGGGAAACCCUGAUCCAGCAACGCCGCGUGGAGGAUGAAGGUCUUCGGAUUGUAAACUCCUGUUAGGGGGGACGAAGGGCUGUCGGCGAAUAGUCGGCAGACUUGACGGUACCCCCAGAGGAAGCCCCGGCUAACUCUGUGCCAGCAGCCGCGGUAAUACAGAGGGGGCAAGCGUUAUUCGGAAUUAUUGGGCGUAAAGGGCGCGUAGGCGGCCUUGUAAGUCUUGGGUGAAAUCCCUCAGCUCAACUGAGGAACUGCCUCGGAUACUGCAGGGCUUGAGGCCGGGAGAGGGUAGUGGAAUUCCCAGUGUAGCGGUGAAAUGCGUAGAUAUUGGGAGGAACACCGGUGGCGAAGGCGGCUACCUGGACCGGUUCUGACGCUGAUGCGCGAAAGCGUGGGGAGCAAACAGG